GAUAUCAUAAAACUCUCAGGUUCCUUUGAGUUAUAUUCAUCCAGCAAGCCAUUGUCAUAUUCAGACAUUGGUCAGCAAGCCUUGGUUUCCUCAGAUAUAAAACAACAAUGAUAAUAUCUCCCUUGAGAAGUGCUCAGCACAGGUCUUGGCUGACAGAAAAUUUUAAUGAGCUGUGGCUGUUUUUAGGGUCUAGGUGGUAAGAUGAGAAUUCUUAAGUAAGUCAAACCAGAGACAAGGGAGGCUUGGCUGGGAAGCCUGGGAGGCUCCAGUUGUAGGACAGGCAGAAAUCAAGGCAUUUGUGUCACGUAUUUUCAGGGCAAAGACUUUAGAACUCAGGUGAACUGGAGAGAGCAAGAUAGUAUAGACAUUUGAAAGGAACUGGAUGAGUGUUGAAAAUAUAAGAACAGGGACUAAGGCAUGAGAAGAAAAGGCCGGAGCUCAGUUAGAGAGCUGAGGUUCCUGGGCAGAGCAGAAUCUAAAAUCAAUCUUAUUCUGUAGUAGGUCACUGAUCCAAGGCUCCUUAAGCCUUCUCUGCUAAGAAUUGACCAAACUAAAGAGCUCCAGUGAAGAAAAUAAGGGCUGUGGGGCAAGGAUAUAGGAACAUUACUCAGUCCUAUAGUAGACCCUAGGCUUUAUUAGUCUCUCUCUGAAUUAAAAUGAGGUCCUCUUAUAGGUGAUAUUGGUCUCUAUGAUUUAAAAUAAGAGGUUAUUAUUUAAGAGAUAAUGCCUUGAUUUAUGGCACUGAUAUAACAUCCUGUUAUCUAAUCCAUACUUUCACCUACAUAGGUUGUAUUUCUUAUAGUCAUUUAAUAGAUGUGAAAACUGAGGGUAAAGAUGGUCUCCUCACUGAAUUCACCCAGGAAGCUGAAGUGCAAUGGUUACACAGCCUUUUGAUGUCCAACCCAGAGUUUUACCAUCUCUGGUAAGGACCUACAGUCAGUAAAUAUUAAAAGCAACCAGCAUGUUCUUACCAGCUUCUCUUCUCCAGAAGAAUCUUUAUCUAUUUUUAUUGGGUGCCUCGUGUACCCUCAGGAGGUUUGGUCAAGGGAGGUCAACUGUGAUUCUGAACUGGACACCAUCAGCAAAACCUAUGAAGUCAUUUAUCUUUUCCCCUUUUCUUGUGAAUCUGAGCUGUCCUGGUUGUUCGCAUUUCAUUUUUAUUCCCAUCUGUGUAUUGUUCUGUUUUUUUUUUUUCUUUUGUGGUAAAUAUUGUAAUUAUCUUCAUGAGGCAUAAUAUUACUUCUUAUGCUCAGAUGGGGUAGAUAGCUGCCAACCAGGUACAACUUGAGCAAACAGGUGAUCUGAUUCUGCCACUCUCCUACCCCUCUCACCUCUGUUGACCAGCGGGAAUGUCAAGGUCAGGUUCUACUGAGAAGGAAAUGUAAUGAAUCAUUAUUAGUCAUUAACGCAAUCUCGAAUCAGUUCAUCAAGUGAGGAAAUCACAGUGCAAUGGCCUUCUGUAUAUACACACACUUUACUGACUAAAAAUAAGCACGUCCUCCUUUUAAAAUAGCUAAGAAGUUUCUACAAGAAAAAAGGAGUCUAUUCUGAAAACCUUAGAUUAUGGCUCUGAACUUUGGCUGCAUAUUAGAAUAAUCUGGGAAAAUGUUUAAUUCCUUGUUUUCAAUCUGUACCCCAAUGAUACAUCUGAAUGCCUGCCCCCAGAUCCAGUGAUUUUUAUAAAGCUUCCUAAGUGAUUCCAUUUUAUAGCCAUAAUCAAAAGCCAUUGCUCUAGAUACUUUCCAGCAUGAAUAAAAUCAUGAACUUAAUCAUUUUCUUCUUAAGUAAAAGCUCUUUCCUCAUAAUGGAAUUUAAAGAUUGAGUUAAUUAUUUAAAACAUAGAACUAAAAUAAAUUAAUCUUUGAUCUAGGGUACACAGAGGCUGGGGAGAGAGUGAGAGAGUGCCUUUAUGGUGUGUGCCUUUAUGGAGUUCUUUAGUGAACUUGUUAACUAUGAAAAGAGAAGAGAGACCCAGAGGAGAAGAAAAAUUAAGUAUAGUGGGGUUGACAGAAAAAGAGGGUUUUCUCUGGGGAGGGAUGGAUUAGGAGUUUGGGAUUAGCAUAUAUACCCUGUGGUAUAUGGCGUGGUUGGCCAAAGGGAACCUGCUGUAUAGCGCAGGGAACUCUACCCCAUAUCCUGCGAUAAUCUAUACAGGAAAAGAAUCUGAAAAGGAAUGGAUGUGUGUAUAUGUAUAACUGAAUCAAUUUGUUGUACAGCAGAAAUUAUCACAACAUUGUAAACCAAACUAAAUAAAACCUUUUUUAAAAAAGAAAAAAUAAAGUUUCUAGAUUAAGAAAAAUUUGCACAGUAAGUUUUUAUUGAAUAUUAUUUUUCUCAUAUGACUAAGAGGCAAAAUUGACAAUGGAACGUCAAGAUUUAUAUUGUAUUUCUUAUCAAUUUUUAUUAAGUUAGAAUAAACCUACUGUAAAAUUUACUAUUUUUAGUGUUCAAUUCCACAAGUUUUGACAAAUAUAUGCAGCUGCAUAACCACAUUAUGGAACAAUUUUAUACCCUCUGCCUAUGUGUAGCCAACCCAUCAUCCCUCCCCUGGACUCUGGCCACUGAUCUGUUUUCUAUUCCUCUAAUUUCCUUUGCUGAGUGUUAUGUAAAUGAUACCAUACAGUUUCAUUUUAUUUGUAAUAGUUAUAUUUUAAUAGAAAAUAAUUGAAGGUAGAUUUUGUGCAAUAAGCUCUGAGAUGAUCAAGCAUCCUUGUCUGAAAGAGGUAACUAGCUGUCUUCCUAACCAUGAAACACUUCUUAGGGAGCUUUAGGCACUGUCAAUUACCACGGGGACCAGAAGAAGCUGAGCUGUUCAGGAAGGCAGAAGUUACCAAUGUAAACCAAAUUUAGUGAUAGGAAUAUUGAAAUCAAGGUAAAGAAACACCAGUCACAUAAUUAAUCUCAAGGAAAUAAAACACAAGACACACAAGCACAUAGAUAUUUAUUUAUGGCCCCACCCCCAGCAUAUGGAAUUUCCUGGGCCAGGGAUCAACUCUAAGCCACAGCUAUGACCUAUGCUGCAGCUAUGGCAACAGUGGACCCUAUAAACCACUGUGCUGGGGAUUAAACCCACACCUUUGCAGGGACCUGAGCUGUUGCAGUUGGAUUCUUAACCCACUGUGCCACAGUGGGAACUC
rnacentral:lncRNA from 1 species